CCUACGGGAGGCAGCAGUGGGGAAUAUUGCACAAUGGGGGAAACCCUGAUGCAGCAACGCCGCGUGAAGGAAGACGGUUUUCGGAUUGUAAACUUCUAUCAAUAGGGAAGAAAGAAAUGACGGUACCUAAAUAAGAAGCCCCGGCUAACUACGUGCCAGCAGCCGCGGUAAUACGUAGGGGGCAAGCGUUAUCCGGAUUUACUGGGUGUAAAGGGAGAGUAGGCGGCAAGGUAAGCGAUAUGUGAAAGCCUUAAGCUUAACUUAAGGAUGGCAUAACGAACUAGCUAGCUAGAGUACAGGAGAGGAGAGCGGAAUUCCAAGGGUAGCGGGGAAAUGCGUAGAUAUAAGGAGGAACACCAGUGGCGAAGGCGGCUUUCUGGACUGAAACUGACGCGGAGGCUCGAAAGCGUGGGGAGCGAACAGGAUUAGAUACCCCGGUAGUC
rnacentral:rRNA from 1 species